GAUGAACGCUGGCGGCGUGCCUAAUACAUGCAAGUCGAGCGAACGGACGAGAAGCUUGCUUCUCUGAUGUUAGCGGCGGACGGGUGAGUAACACGUGGAUAACCUACCUAUAAGACUGGGAUAACUUCGGGAAACCGGAGCUAAUACCGGAUGAUAUUUUGAACCGCAUGGUUCAAAAGUGAAAGACGGUCUUACUGUCACUUAUAGAUGGAUCCGCGCUGCAUUAGCUAGUUGGUAAGGUAACGGCUUACCAAGGCAACGAUGCAUAGCCGACCUGAGAGGGUGAUCGGCCACACUGGAACUGAGACACGGUCCAGACUCCUACGGGAGGCAGCAGUAGGGAAUCUUCCGCAAUGGGCGAAAGCCUGACGGAGCAACGCCGCGUGAGUGAUGAAGGUCUUCGGAUCGUAAAACUCUGUUAUUAGGGAAGAACAUAUGUGUAAGUAACUGUGCACAUCUUGACGGUACCUAAUCAGAAAGCCACGGCUAACUACGUG
rnacentral:rRNA from 1 species